rnacentral:rRNA from 1 species
CCUGAGAAACCCGAAAGAUCGAAUGGGGAGAUUCACCGUCAGCGACGUCGGCUUCUCGGCGGUUCGCGAUGCGCGCGGCGCCCUCGCGGGCGUUCGCGUCGCACGCGUCCGCCGUGUCUCUCUCUCUCUCGAGAGGGAGUCCAUGCUCGGCGGCGUCGGCGUGCACUUCUCCCCUAGUAGGACGUCGCGACCCGUUGGGUGUCGGUCUACGGCCCGGGCUGUCGCCUGUCCCGUCGCUUCGGCGUCGCGGGGCAGACACCCGGUGUCGCCCGACCGGCUGCCCGGCGGUACUCGCACGGUAUCUGGCCGCACACUCGAACUGCGUCACUCGUGCAGGCCCGCCGCAAGCGCGGUCAGUGUAUACCCGGAGGUGCGGACCCAGCGCCGUCCCCGGGCCUGGCCCGCUGUUCGCCGGCGGUGUCCUCUGACAGGCCGUACGUCCGCCGUCAAACGCGGACGUGGGAUACCGGUCGGCGACGCUACUGCUUUGGGUACUUUCAGG